GGGGCAGCUUUUACCAUCAGACUCUGAAAAAAUAUCCCAAGAGGCCAAUGGCCUGUUUCAAGCAGAGAUUGCCAUUGUUAUAACGGAAGAGUCCAACCAGAAAGUGUCCUGCUGUGUCAGGAACCCCCAACUCAACCAGGAGAGAGAGUCAACGUUUUCCAUAGCAGGGCUGUUUUUCCCCAGAGCCAAUCCCUGGAUGGUGGCUUUCUGUGUGAUCCUGCCUCUCCUGGUUGUUCUCAUUGUCCUGGUCUGUUACUUUUUCUGGAGGCAACACAGAGUGGAUGGGUGUUGAAGAUUUCGAAAUGCAGCUCAUUCAGUUAAAAAGCUCAGAACUGUGGGCAUCAAAGUUUGGAGAUCUGUGGAGCGCACUUGAAGCUACCAAGAGAGAUCAUGGGGAGAUA